GAUGAAGCAGUAACGACACAUUUUUUGGAUGAUGAUGAUGAGGAAGAUGAUCUU
rnacentral:ribozyme from 15 species